AGUUAUACAUACGUUGCAUUUUGUCAAGUUUAUAAACUUAACAGAAAACAAUUUUGUUUAUUUACGAUGAGUCAUUUCGUUACUUAAGCUUUCCGCUUGAUGGUAUUAAGAACAUCAUAGCAUAGAGGUGGGAGUGAAAAACGUUAAGUAAGCUUCAAAGAGUCUCGAGAGGAAAAAUCGUGUUAGGCGAUUAAGUGUAGGUAUAUCUUAAAAACUGACAAAUUUCGGCUCAACGGUGAGAAAAAAAAGCUUUUCAUCUGGCAUUUUUAUUUCGUCACACAUCUCUGAUAUAUUUGCCUGGACUGAACCAGAUCUUCUUACGAAACGAAAAUUUUAGUUCUCUUUGUAUUAUUUCUGUUGCCGACCCGAAGGAAUGAUCGCGGUCUCGCUACUUAGAAGAUAUCUUCCCAAGUAACGUUUCGUAAUAGCAUGGAUUAGUGUUCUUGUAUUUUCGCGGAGACAGCAACUGUUCGCAUUGUUGCGAUGCGACAUUGCGAACUGCCAACUAAAACCGUGCGAUUAUUUCAAAAUCUCUUUGCCUAGUGUCUCGUAUUUUUUGACUUUGAUGUUUCUAUUCCACAAAGACUGACAAUCGUAAAACUGUAAUUUAUUAUACAACUGUGUCUUUCGUUCAUCAUUAUCAAAACUUCCGAUGUUUAUCCAUUUACGAGAAAUUAAAAUGAGCAAAAAUAUACAAAAUAUCUAAAGUAAAGUAUACUCGUCACAACUUAGAGGGUGAAAUACAUUUCUAUUAAAAUUAGAUAGAUGUCUUUAUAAAUAAAAAUAUUUGUAUUGUAAGCGAUCGAAAGAUUUUUUGGGCUGUUUCAUAGUUAGAUAAACUCACAUCGAUGGAAUAACGUAAAAGAGAAAUCACGUAACACAGGAUAAAACUUCGAACUGCUACUUCGCUAGUACCGUUUAAUAUCAUAGCAUAGAUCUCUAGGGAUUUAUUUCAACCAGAGCCAAAUCCAAAAGAGUAUUUGAUCCUCUUUGUCAGAUUGUACUGCAAUCUCGGGGAAAAAAUUGUUCUGGACCCUAUCACCACGGUGUAUCCCUUCCCUCAAUCUUGUAUUCCAAUUGUUUUAUCUACCUUCGACAAAACUAAUGAAAUCUUAUUACAGAUUGCGUUAACGAACCAGCGAAUUUUCAUGCUUUAAAAUAAUGCCGGCACUAUCACAAAAGGGUAGAGUAACAAGUCGGAGAAAAAUUAUCUCACGACUGCAUAGACAUUUACAUUUUUAUCUCGUCGUAGGUUUCUAGAAGAUAAAUCUCGGACCGCCCUAGAUUCGCGAAUAAUUCGGGGAAAAGGUUCCUUUUUCUAGGCAUUUUUCCUGCACCGCCGUGCAAUAGUUACAACGUCGCGAGAGUUGGCAAACAGAAGCCGACUGGUUUAACCGAUAAAGUUCUGUAAUAGCGUGGAUUAGAGUUCCAAGCACUUCUCUUCGUGGGUGAACAGGAGUCCACCCCACGACAAUUACCGAAAGUGUCUGCAAGCGCGCUUGGGUUCGUUCGGAUGAAUAUUGGAUCGCCAGAUUUGGUAACUUUUACGCCUCGAGUGGCACCCGUGGGUAAAAUAACUUGGAUAACGUUUAAAACGAUCGUGUUGAAAAUCAGCUAGUCGCUACAAAUCACGGACGAACGCUGUUAUCGCGAUUACUACACCAGCGACUUUAUAGCGUAUACUUUUAUAGUGUGCUAAUUACUGAGUGGUCAGCGAUUGUCGACUUGGCCAAACAGAAAUGUGCAGCAGAGAAAAAGUUUGACGUAAAUUAAUUAUUAAAACCGUUCAAAUACAGAGAUUGAAAAUGCUAACGAUGAUGUUAUAGAAAUAUUUGCGGAUAAUUUUUUAGAAAUAUCAAGUCAUGGAUAUCAUAGAUAUUUAUUUCAUUUUUCCUUUAUUCCAAAUUUUUAUUAAAGAAAGCUUCUAUUUUGAACAAACUAUACAUUCCUAUUUGCAAUAAACGUGAAAUUUUUAGGAAGGCGAUAAUGUUUUUCAGGGGAAACCUCUCAAUAAAAUUUAUUUCGAACCGCCUUUGCCGCGGCAAGUUUCAAUGCGGUAGAAUUUAUAUAAAGAAUCGAAAACGUUUUCUACACGCGAUAACUCUUCUAAAGACGGUUCUGCCUGUUCGACCUAAAACCACAUAAGAUGCAAUAUACCUUUUCUCCUCCUUCCUUUUUCGUUCAGCUUCCACUUUAAGGAGACGCAUUUUAUUUACUCUAACCGAUAGAGUUAUAUACCACAAUGGAAUAAGCGUGUUUAGGCUUCUUCGCCGUUUAGAAUCCAUAUUCUAUGGGUAGGCAGUAGGUAAGUAACAUUGUUACAAAGCGGAUAAUUGAAUUUCUUCUCUAGCGAUAAAAUUAAAUUCAGAGCAAAUUUUCUGGUUAUUACCUUGAUAAUUUAAUUCUGACAAAGAAAAAUCUUGGGAAUGUUAUAUCGAUUCUCUUUCUUUUGUUCACUUUUUUCUAGGAUAUGGCGGGGCUACAUUUCACAACCUAAGUGUUGAAAAUCGCUCCGAACUUAAGACCCAAGAAAUUCAGAUCUUUCUACGGUAGGUGUUACACGCGAUUAUAAAUGGUAGCAUAUUAAGCAAAUUUUUAAUCAAAAAGUUCUGUCAUGGAAUUAAAAAUUAAUAGACACAAAUUAAUUUCAGUCAGAUUAGCAAAUACAGUAAUUUAAAUUGAUUUUGAUAAGAAAGGAAAGGGCAAAGAGUAAUUAUAGACGUAAAAGUUACAAUUUUGCCAUUUCGAACAAUGUACCAGCAUCGUCGUUACGUUCACGAAAUUCGUCGAAAUUAUAUACACCAACAAUGGUCGAGUCAAAUCCCUUUCAAUUGUUGCGAGAACAAUUAUUGCAUCGCUUACCGAAGUACUAUCGAACCAUGAAACAUUAGAGAAUGAGUAACAACGUGCCGGAAGUAGAGGUUGCGUGCACACAGCGAUCUCUAAUGGAACCAGAAAUUAAAUCGCAGAAUUCGAGUUAUACCACAACAAUCACAUCGACUAUAGAUAGUAUUUUCAUCGAUAUUGGCGAUACAGUAACAGCCAUGAUAUGAGCACGUGAUACAAAUCGAGCGCGAUGGUCUAUGCUUCAAGAUUCAAUCGAUUUAAACUAAUUGAUAUAUCGUAGUGUUUCUUGGUGUUGCUAAAAGAAACCUAAUAACUUUUCAAAACUUUACAAACUUCGCAAUAUUUUACAAAAAUAUCACGUAAUUUUAGAUUAAAUUGUAAAAGAACAAUGGAAAAACGACGAAAAAUUUUACAAAGCCUAAAAUCAUUAAUUUAUUACUAACAAAAUAUGCCUCAAAUCGAUAACUCGUACCUUCAGUUAUGGCGAACCUCUAAAACAAACUCGACCACAAUCAAAGGGAAUAAUCGAUCUUGACGAGUACCACUACGUUCACGUGGAAGGUUUGAAAGAAAAAUGCAAGUUCUCAUACGAUUUCACUCCCGCAAGGAACUAAUCGCACUAAUUUUUCUGUGAAUGCUCGGCAUUCCUAACCACCUGGCGUGCUAUUCUCUUUCCGCUAAGAUAAAGAGAGCCUCGGCAUUCAACUUCGUGCAUUAACGUCAGAAGCAGGCGAGGCAAUCCGUUUGCAUUUCGCACAUAGGCGUCGCUGCACGUUCGAUGUUCGUGGCUGCUGCUGUUGGCCUCUCAAGAAAAAAGAACUAGGAGUGGUGGAAAGAGGGAAGAACAAGGUGGAUAUCUGGUCGCGGGUAAGUCGGAAAAUCGAUCCUCGCCAACCAGUCGGUCGUUUCGCGUCUCUUGGUGACUGUUUCAGAGCCACGAUGAAAUAUGGCAUUAACGUUCUGCUCCAUUGAGGAUCGCGUACUGUUUUUCCACCCUCUGUUCUCUUUUUUCUUCCAUUUUUUGUUCUCCCUCGAACUGUCACACUCGGUCCAGCGUCGAGAAAUCAAUUUUUCUCGUGUAACCGGUGUAACCCGUGGCGGACCACCGCUGCGCCGGACGUUUCGGUGUUAUUGGUCAAAAAGUGCCAGUGUAACGCGACCGUAACAACAGGCAAACCCAACUAAUGUCGUUUCGAAACCUCAUGGAAGGAGCUGCCGCACGGCUGUCUCCUUUUCUUCUGUACCUCUUCAGUCCGUUUGUUGAACGUAUUGUCGCGGUUGGGCGGAAACCAUCGUCUCCACACAUAGAACGCUGUUACUUUUUUACGAUGAUAAAGUCAAUUCUUUUUUUAGAAAAAUUACAUAAUAAUAUUUUUAACAACAGUUUUAGAAUAGAGCGAAAUUUUGAGCAUUAUAUCUAUGCACGACAAAGCAUAUGGAAUUUGUUUAUGAUGAAAACAUCUGAACUCUUGACGUAUCAGUAAAUUUACAACAUGCAUACCAGUAUAGGAAAUUCAAACAUCGACGUGAAAGUGGAAAAUAUCUGAGGACUUGCGAUAUUGAUUACUGCGGAGGAUCAAUAGCCAUUAUGAUGCGGUGGUUGAUGGUCGUUGACAGUGAGUCAUAAGGGAUUUACGAGGCGGUAUAAACUACAGAACUUCUGUGCCCCGUACCACGAAAAGCAAGGAGAGGAAGAGGGAUAAAGCUCGCGACUGCUAAAUUGUAAUCUUCGCCCAUAAACGGCAUUUUAUCACCAACUGCCUAUUAUAUCUUCUAACUUUUUGGACUAAAGGAACAAAAUGUUCUUCAUGAUUUCCUUUGUCUGCUAAUAAUUUCUUAAAAACUUAUCAAGGAAUUUAAUUAGCAAUUAAUUAUUAACUAAACAUUCGCGUCCUUAUUGAAUGAAUCAUUUUACCUGUGAUAUUCACCUUGAUUUUUUUACUUUUAAGUUAAAUAAAUUAUCAUAAUCAAUCAAUUUCUCCUUUGUAAAAUAAAUUAAUUUUCUUGACGGACACAAUAGGCAUAAAAACCUACGACAUUUUACUUAUAAUCGUAUAAUGGAACCCGCAGCUUUGUACGAUGAGACGCGAAAUUUUUGUUCGGUUAAGUUAGUCAUUUGGCGAACUUUGUUCCCUGGAGUUCUGGCAUUCGCUUUUAGCGAGUCGACUACUCUUUGCAGCUUCGUUUACUGCCCUUAGCAGUACACUUAGACGCUGCAAUAUAGUCUUGUGUGUUUAACUAUCUUUAGCCGUUACUGUUCCAAGUUUUCAAAUGAAACGCGAGCCUCGAUGGAGUGGAAGACAGUGUUCGCGAAAUUUCUACGCUUCCGACGAACGACAUUUACAGAACCCUCUACGCGAACCCGUGGUUUCUUGAUUAGACAUUUAAACCGAUAACGAGGUGAGCGUUGAGUAAAGAAGAAAUUUUCCCCAUUCUAGCAAAUAGCAUACAAGACGGAUCGAAUGUGUAUCGAGCAAACUCGGAUUUUAAUUAAAUCCAGCAGUAAACGUAAACUUCAACGAGUUAGUUGGUCUAUUAUCUGGCGUCUUAGCGUGUUUCACAUUUGCAACGCAGUGAUAUUCGUUUAUUCACACAUGCAAAUGUUAUUUCAACCCUUUAGAACGCUGUAUUGCUGCUUUGCUUUAAAAUAGUGGCACGUCCCAACAAAUUUUAAAUUUGCUUUUAUCGAAUAGAAGGUCGAGAGUUAUGUUUCUGUUUUUAUUAUGUAAAACGGUAUAUUUAUUAUUUCAUCAGUUUUGCGUUGGAAGGAAAAAUUAUUGUUAUGCUGUUAUCAAUCUGUCCUUAGCUUAACAGCACUGGUUGAUCUUCAGCUGUUUUCGUGACGCUACAAGUGGAAGGUCAUACUGCUUUUGCGAAAAGUGGCGUAUUUUGUGUUAAGACAGCCUUGUAAUGUCGUUGUAACGACUCGCCAAGAUUUCUUUGUAAAUUUGAAAACGCCUCUCCUUUAAAGGCUACAUUUUUUGAGUUGUGCCAUUAUGAAAGCAAAGCAGCGAUAUGACAUGAAAGUUACAAGGUGAGAAAUUGCGUUUAAUUAUAAUUUUUAUUCUUACAAGCAAAUAGAAUUCUGGUUAAUAUUUGUCGUGUCAGCAUACAAGCAGUUCAGAAGGAAACAAUACAGAAUAAUAGGAUAAUAUAUAUCUCUGGAGAUAGUAAAAAUUGUAAUAAAAUUGUUUCGCAAAUUCUCGGUUAAUUGUAAUGCUAUAAACCAUACCAGAUUAAUAUAGUAAUGGCUUAAGUGCGCUCCCGGACAACGAUAUUUAUUCAUUACGAGUGGCUGCGUAUUUUCUAUACAUUUUCGACUGAAUUGGUGAAUAUGGAGAUUCUAAUUACCUAUAUGCACAAUUUCUCAUUGCAAACCUGUUUCUGUCACCUAACCUAACGUGCCACCUCCGUUCUAAUAAUGUUUUAUUCAUGAGCAAAGAUUUCCGCUGCAAUUUAUAACACUCUGGCGGACCAGUUUGAGUAAUGUUUUCGCGAGGGAGAACAAUAAAGAAACAAUGCAAAUGUAGGUAUUUGCAAAUUACGUCCGCUUUAUGUAAUUCUUUCCUAAUUGUAUUAGAGAACAAUUCGCGUUAUUUGCCGAUGUUUAUACUCGCUUACAAUCAGAUUAAUUAAGUCGAUAUCGUUUGGUUAUAGAUGAUCACAAUAGCUCAAAUUACAUUUUCGUCAUAUUAAUUUUAAUUACCAGAUAUAUCAUUUUAAUUUUUUGCAUAAAAUAGGAAAUAGAAAUGAAAAUGAAACAUUUAAAAAUUUAAUAAUUUAAUACAGUUUGUUACGAGUCACCAUCCAACGAUACAAGUUGAGGAUUAUCAUUAAAAUUAAUAGAGAGAUUGAAAACCUCUGUCUAUGCGGUAUGAGACCUCUUUCCAUAAAAGUAGAAUUGUACACAUCGAAAUGUGUGAAGCAAUUAAAACUUUUACGUCAGCUUACAGACUGUUGAACAAAAAAAGAUGACUAAGUUGGAAACAGGCUGACAAACCUUAUGAAAAUAUUUCUGUUUCGCGAAUAUAUUAAGAACAUAAAUAAAAAAACAA